rnacentral:rRNA from 1 species
UACGGAGGGGGCUAGCGUUGUUCGGAAUUACUGGGCGUAAAGCGCACGUAGGCGGCUUUUGUAAGUUAGAGGUGAAAGCCCAGGGCUUAACCCUGGAAUUGCCUUUAAGACUGCAUCGCUAGAAUCGUGGAGAGGUGAGUGGAAAUUCCGAGUGUAGAGGUGAAAUUCGUAGAUAUUCGGAAGAACACCAGUGGCGAAGGCGACUCACUGGACACGUAUUGACGCUGAGGUGCGAAAGCGUGGGGAGCAAACAGG